UACAGAGGGUGCGAGCGUUAAUCGGAAUUACUGGGCGUAAAGGGCGCGUAGGCGGCCUGUUAAGUCGAACGUGAAAUCCCCGGGCUCAACCCGGGAACUGCGUCCGAUACUGGCAGGCUUGAAUCCGGGAGAGGGAUGCGGAAUUCCAGGUGUAGCGGUGAAAUGCGUAGAUAUCUGGAGGAACACCGGUGGCGAAGGCGGCAUCCUGGACCGGCAUUGAUGCUGAGGCGCGAAAGCCAGGGGAGAAAACGGG
rnacentral:rRNA from 1 species